rnacentral:lncRNA from 1 species
CCACGUAGGGCAGUUGGACCGCCCUUGCUCCCUAAUCUAUGCUUCGUGAUACGGAUUAUAGCUAAACCAACAAGUACCUAGGUAGGUAGAAUUGUAGAUGUGUCGGUCUGAGAUGCUUGACGGAUGGCGCUAGUCUUCUUAGUACGAGGAAGUGCAAUAUUUAUAUAUCACACCACCCAGCACGUAGCUUGCUCCAUCACUAUAUCUCGUAAGCAUGGCCCUUCAUCAUGAUUGCUCAUUAUCAUCGUCCAUCGCUACACGGCCCAGCGAUUAAAAGUUGGAACGUCAGUGUGGGCACGACAACGGUUCAUAGCGUCGGAUGUUGAGCAUGAUAUCAUGUGUCGCGGCUUUGCUGCUAGUAAUAGCAGCAUCAAUACAAGGAAGCAACCCACUAGCAAGAAAGAACAUAUAAUACGAUAGCAACUCGCAUCGAGUGAGUCUGUUAGAUGUAGUUUCAUCAACGAUGUCGGCCAAUCAGAGCGCGUCGUGUCUGGAUUCAUGAUCAACCAGUCCUAAACGCAAUCUUCUGCUAUGUCAUCGCUUCUCUCAGGUCGGUUUUUUGUCGCGGUCAAUCUUGACUUUAUCCAGCCAGAUUGUAUCAUUCUUACUUAACCUACUUCUUGAUACGUCGUCUGGAU